AACGCUGGCGGCGCGCUUAACACAUGCAAGUCGAGCGAGAACCGGGACUUCGGUCCCGGGGAAAGCGGCGAACGGGUGAGUAACACGUGGGUAAUCUGCCCUCGAUUCUGGGAUAGCCCGGGGAAACCCGGAUUAAUACCGGAUAGCCUUUCGAGCCUUCGGGCGCGGAAGAAAAGGUAGCUUCGGCCUCCGAUCGAGGAUGAGCCCGCGGUGGAUUAGCUUGUUGGUGGGGUAACGGCUCACCAAGGCGACGAUCCAUAGCUGGUCUGAGAGGACGAUCAGCCACACUGGGACUGAGACACGGCCCAGACUCCUGCGGGAGGCAGCAGUGGGGAAUCUUGCGCAAUGGGCGAAAGCCUGACGCAGCGACGCCGCGUGAGGGAAGAAGGCCUUAGGGUUGUAAACCUCUUUCAGGCGGGACGAAGCCACUCGGGUGAAUAGCCCAGAGGGUGACGGUACCGCCAGAAGAAGCCCCGGCUAACUACGUGCCAGCCGCCGCAGUAAAAC
rnacentral:rRNA from 1 species